rnacentral:pre_miRNA from 1 species
GUCCCUGUAUAUAUAGGGUCAGGGGGUUCCGCACCCCCUAACAUGGCGCCCCCGGUCCCUGUAUAUAUAGUUGUC